CUAACAAGGAUUCCCCUAGUAAUGGCGAAUGAAGAGGGAAAAGCCCAAAUUUGUAAUCUGGCUCUUUCAGAGUCCGAGUUGUAAUUUUAAGAACUGUUUUCAGUGCUGGACCAUGUAUAAGUCUGUUGAAAGGCAGCAUCAUAGAAGGUGAUAAUCCUGUUCAUGAUGUGGACUACCAGUGCAAUAUGAUACAGUCUCUAAGAGUCGAGUUGUUUGGGAAUGCAGCUCAAAGUGGGU
rnacentral:rRNA from 1 species